ACUGAGUGGCGGACGGGUGAGUAACGCGUGGGUAACCUGCCUCAUACAGGGGGAUAACAGUUAGAAAUGACUGCUAAUACCGCAUAAGACCACAGUACCGCAUGGUACAGGGGUAAAAACUCCGGUGGUAUGAGAUGGACCCGCGUCUGAUUAGGUAGUUGGUGGGGUAACGGCCUACCAAGCCGACGAUCGGUAGCCGGACUGAGAGGUUGAACGGCCACAUUGGGACUGAGACACGGCCCAG
rnacentral:rRNA from 1 species